rnacentral:lncRNA from 1 species
AUGUAUUUUUUGUCUCUUUUGGUCACGACUAUAUCCCCUCAACUUAGCACAGUGGCAGGUAUAAAGCAAGGGCUCAACACAUUUAUGCCGAAUGAGCAGUCUCCUCAAAAACAAGAUCUUGUCCUCUUCUUCUUCUUUUUUUUUUUAAGUAUAUUUAUUUUUAGUGUAAUCUCUACACCCAACACAGGGCUCAAACUCACAACCCUGAGAUCAAGAGUUGCAUGCCCCUCGGACCAAGCCAGGCAGGCGCCCCCGAUCUCAUCCUCUUCUGCUACCACACCCAACUUAUCAGAACAGGCACUGAUUAUGGACACUCCCGUGCGGAAGAGGGGCUCCAUAGGAAAUCCAUGGGGAGAUACAGAUGAGCUCUACAGAGAGCUUGUGACCGCCAACUCAUACUUCGUUCUUGCUCUUCGGGCUCCAUGUGAAGCUUCCCGAUGGCCUGACUCUAAGAAACUUUCAAGCACGUAUGCUUUAAGAAUAAUACAUCCCUCUCAGAACUACACCACUGAAAGGGCAUCCUCUACUAACAGACUCCACUAG